rnacentral:rRNA from 1 species
UACGAAGGGGGCUAGCGUUGUUCGGAAUUACUGGGCGUAAAGCGCACGUAGGCGGAUCGAUCAGUCAGGGGUGAAAUCCCAGGGCUCAACCCUGGAACUGCCUUUGAUACUGUCGAUCUUGAGUCCGGGAGAGGUGAGUGGAACUCCGAGUGUAGAGGUGAAAUUCGUAGAUAUUCGGAAGAACACCAGUGGCGAAGGCGGCUCACUGGCCCGGUACUGACGCUGAGGUGCGAAAGCGUGGGGAGCAAACAGG